CUCUUUUCUCUGGAAUAGUCUGGUCAAAGCUGAAGUCACAGAAAGCAUUAGAGCGCUGGCAGCCAGACACAGAGGAGGAAUAUGAAGACUCCAGCGGAAACGUGGUCAACAAGAAGACUUAUGAGGAUCUGAAGCGACAGGGGCUUCUGUAGCACAACAAACAAGAUCUCUGAACACACAAAACACUCACA